UCCGCAGAUGUCCCAUGCCUUGUCCCCGGA
rnacentral:piRNA from 1 species